rnacentral:rRNA from 1 species
AGUAAUUAUUUUUAUAGGAUUAAUGAGUGAAGGGUGGAAUAACAUGUGUACAUAUUGCCCGUCGCUCUCGUUAUUUUUGAGAUAAGUCGUAACAUAGUUGAUGGACUGGAAAGUGUAUCUUUUU